AAAAUAAAAAUAGCCAGUGAGGCCUUGUUAUUAAAGAUUUCAAAGACAAAUGUUUCACACUUUUUAUUCAUACUAAUGUGUGUUACCUUAGUGAAUAUAGAAUAAAAACAAAAAAAUGAAAACAUAUUCUUUAAUUUUAUCCUUUUAUUUCAUGACAUCCAAAAAAAUAUUGUAUUUAUACCAUUUAGAUUCUAGCUCAUUCAGCAAAAAAGUGUUGGAACCCCGCUAUAGAUACUCAGUAAAAGUGAUGCAUUUUGUUCUAAACUCCGCCCAUUUUUCCUCAGUUCAACCUUCAAUCACCGUAACUAUCUACCACAUGGAGUUUGAGCUUAUUCCUGUUUGCUCUAAAAGCUUUAAACAACGUGUACAUGCAGGAGCCUUUGCAACACUUGUGUCUCAAUUCCCAGAAGAGGGCAACAAUAAAUGGGAAAUGGUUGGCACUUCUAUAGAGCUGUUCUAACAAUUGGUACUCAAAGCACUUCUACACUGUUUUCUAUUUACCCUCUGGGUCACACAAACACACAAUUAUACACUGAUGGAGAAGGGCGAGAAGCAGCGAGACCGAACCCACCGGGGAGGACUGAAGCCCCACAAACAGACGUCCACCACAGACAGCCGGGCCAUCCGAAUUAUUGCUCAUCAACCAAACCUUUGUUUCUAUGGAAAUAAUCGUUAUCACAGCAACUUUCUUACUAUGGUAACCGUCGUUUCACUAGGAACCUGUGUUACCAUGGCAAUGCCACUGAUUAUGGUAAACUCCAUUUUUAUAUCAGCGUUUGUUACUAAGAUAACACAGGUUAGCAUUACUCUCUGGUAUGUCUGACCCCUCUUAGGUCAUUGACCUGUUCCUCUGUGCGGUUCUGGACUGUUUCCUGACAGAUCUUUAGAUCUUUCGCACCCCACCAGGUGAACAAUCUUGUCCCUGGUGUUCUUUGACAGCUCUUUGGUCUCUGUGGAGAGGUUACAGUCUGACUGUUUGGGGUGUGGUGGUUUCCUUGGGAUGUGAUGGUGGAUCUAAUCAGUGCACCAAUAAAUACAUGCUUUAUUGGUGUGUGCCAAGCAUGGACAAUCCAGCAGGAGACUCUCAGAAGAAUACAAUGUGAUUUAUUGCAUAAUAAACCUCAAGCACUGAAAAAAAAAGUUUCUCUCUUCCCUCUAAU